rnacentral:rRNA from 1 species
GAUUAACGCUGGCGGCAUGCCUAAUACAUGCAAGUCGAACGGAAGUAGCAAUACUUUAGUGGCGAACGGGUGAGUAACACGUAUCUAACCUACCAUUUAGUGGGGAACAACUGUUGGAAACGACAGCUAAUACCGCAUAUGUUAUUAGCAUGAAAACUAAUAAUGAAAGGAGCAGCAAUGCUUCGCUAAUUGAUGGGGAUGCGGCGCAUUAGCUAGUUGGUAAGGUAAUGGCUUACCAAGGCAAUGAUGCGUAGCCGGUCUGAGAGGACGAACGGCCACAUUGGGACUGAGACACGGCCCAAACUUCUACGGAAGGCAGCAGUAGGGAAUUUUUCACAAUGGGCGAAAGCCUGAUGGAGCAAUGCCGCGUGACUGAUGAAGGUCUUCGGAUUGUAAAGGUCUGUUGUAAGGGAAGAAAUACUAUAAUAGGAAAUGAUUAUAGGAUCGACGGUACCUUACCAGAAAGCCACGGCUAACUAUGUGCCAGAGCCGCGGUAA